rnacentral:misc_RNA from 1 species
GAUGAAGAACGUAGCGAAAUGCGAUACGUAAUGUGAAUUGCAGAAUUCAGUGAAUCAUCGAAUCUUUGAACGCACAUUGCGCUCUCUGGUAUUCCGGAGAGCAUGCUUGUUUGAGUAUCAGUAAACACCUCAACUCCUUUAUUGUAGUUGGACUUGGGCUAUCCCAACAGGACUUUUUGUUCCUGGCGGGAGGCUUGAAAUGCAGGUGCAGCUGGACUUUCUUCUGAGCUAUAAGCAUAUUUAUUUAAUCCCUUAACACGGAUUAUUACUUUUUUGCUGCAGCUAACAUAAAGGUUGAAUUUCCAUUGAGCUGACUGAUGCAGGAAUUUGGCAAGGAAUUUUUUUAAUGACUUGUUAAACUCGAUCUCAAAUCAAGUAAGACUACCCGCUGAACUUAAGCAUAUCAAUAAGCGGAGGA